UACGUAUGGUGCAAGCGUUAUCCGGAUUUACUGGGUGUAAAGGGAGCGCAGGCGGCACGGCAAGCCUGAUGUGAAAGCCCGCGGCCCAACCGCGGGACUGCAUUGGGAACUACCGGGCUGGAGUGCCGGAGAGGUAGGCGGAAUUCCUAGUGUAGCGGUGAAAUGCGUAGAUAUUAGGAGGAACACCAGUGGCGAAGGCGGAUUGCUGGACAGUAACUGACGCUGAGGCGCGAAAGCGUGGGGAGCAAACAGG
rnacentral:rRNA from 1 species